GAUGAACGCUGGCGGCGUGCCUAAUACAUGCAAGUCGAGCGAACAGACGAGGAGCUUGCUCCUCUGACGUUAGCGGCGGACGGGUGAGUAACACGUGGAUAACCUACCUAUAAGACUGGGAUAACUUCGGGAAACCGGAGCUAAUACCGGAUAAUAUAUUGAACCGCAUGGUUCAAUAGUGAAAGACGGUUUUGCUGUCACUUAUAGAUGGAUCCGCGCCGCAUUAGCUAGUUGGUAAGGUAACGGCUUACCAAGGCGACGAUGCGUAGCCGACCUGAGAGGGUGAUCGGCCACACUGGAAGUGAGACACGGACCAGACUCCUACGGGAGGCAGCAGUAGGGAAUCUGCCGCAAUGGGCGAGAGCCUGACGGAGCAACGCCGCGUGAGUGAUGAAGGUCUUCGGAGCGUAAAACUCUGUUAUUAGGGAAGAACAAAUGUGUAAGUAACUAUGCACGUCUUGACGGUACCGAAUCAGAAAGCCACGGCUAACUACGUG
rnacentral:rRNA from 1 species